rfam:Salmo salar isolate Sally breed double haploid chromosome ssa11, whole genome shotgun sequence.
GGUCCUGGACGCUAUGGAAGACUAGUGAUUUUGUUGUUGUAAAUUCAGCACCCAGACAACAAGUCAUAGUCUACCUCAGUGUCCAGAACU